AAGACCUUGCACUUUUGGAGCGGCCGAUGUCUGAUUAGCUAGUUGGUGGGGUAAUGGCCUACCAAAGCUUCGAUCAGUAGCUGAUCUGAGAGGACGGCCAGCCACACUGGGACUGAGACACGGCCCAGACUCCUACGGGAGGCAGCAGUGGGGAAUUUUGGACAAUGGGCGCAAGCCUGAUCCAGCCAUGCCGCGUGAGUGAAGAAGGCCUUCGGGUUGUAAAGCUCUUUCAGCCGGGAAGAAAAGGUUGCGAUUAAUAAUCGCAAUUUAUGACGGUACCGGAAGAAGAAGCACCGGCUAACUACGUGCCAGCAGCCGCGGUAAUACGUAGGGUGCGAGCGUUAAUCGGAAUUACUGGGCGUAAAGGGUGCGCAGGCGGUUUUGUAAGUCAGAUGUGAAAUCCCCGGGCUUAACCUGGGAACU
rnacentral:rRNA from 1 species